UACGUAGGGUGCGAGCGUUGUCCGGAAUUAUUGGGCGUAAAGGGCUCGUAGGCGGUUUGUCGCGUCGGGAGUGAAAACCAUGGGCUUAACUCAUGGCUUGCUUUCGAUACGGGCAGACUAGAGGUAUGCAGGGGAGAACGGAAUUCCUGGUGUAGCGGUGGAAUGCGCAGAUAUCAGGAAGAACACCGGUGGCGAAGGCGGCUCUCUGGGCCUUACCUGACGCUGAGGAGCGAAAGCGUGGGUAGCGAACAGG
rnacentral:rRNA from 1 species